GCCGAUGUGGCGAAAUGGCAGACGCAACGGACUUAAAAUCCGUUUGAGUGAAAACUCAGUGCGGGUUCGAGUCCCGCCAUCGGCA
rnacentral:tRNA from 1 species